rnacentral:rRNA from 1 species
UACGGAGGAUGCAAGCGUUAUCCGGAUUCAUUGGGUUUAAAGGGUGCGCAGGCGGAAUAAUAAGUCAGCGGUGAAAGCCUACAGCUUAACUGUAGAACUGCCAUUGAUACUGUUAUUCUUGAGUGUUGUUGAGGUAGGCGGAAUGUGUCAUGUAGCGGUGAAAUGCUUAGAUAUGACACAGAACACCGAUCGCGAAGGCAGCUUACCAAGCAACAACUGACGCUCAUGCACGAAAGCGUGGGGAUCAAACAGG